CACUAACCUAAUCCCUUCUCUCCCUGCCUUGAGCUCUGAGCUCACAAACCCUGAGGCUUCUGUGACUCCAACAAAGAGGAUGCUCAGAUUUCUACCAGCUUGGACACAGCAGCCUCAUGGCAUGAGGGGGGGAUUUGCUGCUGUUCACAUUGCAGUGACAUGGAGGUCUUUAUGGUCUUACAUUUCUGCUUAUCUGAUCCACCCCUGCCCUCCACACUCCUGGCAUGGUGCUAAUACUGAAACGCUUUUCCUCCCUCUGUUUGUGCCCCCCUCAGAGGAGAUAAUAUCCAAACACAAAAAAACCCCAGGUAGUCCCCAGUUAAGCCUGGACAUUAUUCCAUUUGAUCUGCUAGUAACAAAGCAGGAAAGACCCUGGGGCCCAAGGACUACUGGAUAAUGCUACAUCUGUGCUAGAACACACCCUGUCACUGUUGGGACUUCACCAUGCUGAGUACUAUCCAGAGCUCACAGCCAGACGUGCUCCACCACAAACAGCCUGAGAGGGAAAAAUAAAGCCCUGCCUAUUUGCUUUUUGCA
rnacentral:lncRNA from 1 species